GACAGAUGGGAGCUUGCUCCCUGAUGUUAGCGGCGGACGGGUGAGUAACACGUGGGUAACCUGCCUGUAAGACUGGGAUAACUCCGGGAAACCGGGGCUAAUACCGGAUGCUUGUUUGAACCGCAUUUCAAACAUAAAAGGUGGCUUCGCCCACUUACAGAUGGACCCGCGGCGCAUUAGCUAGUUGGUGAGGUAACGGCUCACCAAGGCAACGAUGCGUAGCCGACCUGAGAGGGUGAUCGGCCACACUGGGAAGACACGGCCCUCCUACGGGAGGCAGCAGUAGGGAAUCUUCCGCAAUGGACGAAAGUCUCGGAGCAACGCCGCGUGAGUGAUGAAGGUUCGGAUCGUAAAGCUCUGUUGUUAGGGAAACAAGUACCGUUCGAAUAGGGCGGUACCUUGACGGUACCUAACCAGAAAGCCACGGCUAACUACGUGCCAGCAGCCGCGGUAAUACGUAGGUG
rnacentral:rRNA from 1 species